rnacentral:rRNA from 1 species
UACAGAGGGGGCAAGCGUUGUUCGGAAUUACUGGGCGUAAAGGGCGCGUAGGCGGCCUGCUAAGUCGAACGUGAAAUCCCCGGGCUCAACCCGGGAACUGCGUCCGAUACUGGCAGGCUUGAAUUCGGGAGAGGGAUGCGGAAUUCCAGGUGUAGCGGUGAAAUGCGUAGAUAUCUGGAGGAAUACCGGUGGCGAAGGCGGCAUCCUGGACCGACAUUGACGCUGAGUGAGCGAAAGCUAGGGGAGCAAACGGG